rnacentral:tRNA from 1 species
UGACCCGUUGGUCAAGUGGUUAAGACACCGCCCUUUCACGGCGGUAACAUGGGUUCGAAUCCCGUACGGGUCAUCCA